rnacentral:rRNA from 1 species
UACGGGAGGCAGCAGUAAGGAAUUUUCGGCAAUGGGCGAAAGCCUGACCGAGCAACGCCGCGUGAGUGAUGAAGGUCUUCGGAUCGUAAAACUCUGUUGUAAAGGAAGAACUGAUACUUGAGGAAAUGCUCGUAUCUUGACGGUACUUUACUAGAAAGUCACGGCUUACUACGUGCCAGCAGCCGCGGUAAU